GUGGGGAAUAUUGGGCAAUGGGCGAAAGCCUGACCCAGCAACGCCGCGUGGAGGACGAAGGCCUUCGGGUUGUAAACUCCUUUUGGAGGGGAAGAAUAAAUUGACGGUACCCUCAGAAAAAGCCACGGCUAACUACGUGCCAGCAGCCGCGGUAAUACGUAGGUGGCGAGCGUUACUCGGAAUUACUAGGCGUAAAGCGUAUGUAGGUGGUUAGAUAAGUCUAUGGUGAAAUUUCCUGGCUUAACUGGGAAGGGACAUAGAUACUAUCUGGCUUGAGUGUGGGAGGGGGAGACGGAAUUCCUGGUGUAGCGGUGAAAUGCGUAGAUAUCAGGAGGAACACCGAUGGCGAAAGCAGUCUCCUGGCCCAAUACUGACACUGAGGUACGAAAGCUAGGGUAGCAAACAGGAUUAGAAACCCUUGUAGUCC
rnacentral:rRNA from 1 species